rnacentral:tRNA from 1 species
AGUUAAUGAACUUGAUAUAAGUAUAUAUUUUGAAAAUAUAAGAAAGAAAAGGAUUUCUAUUAACUU